UACGUAGGGGGCAAGCGUUGUCCGGAAUCAUUGGCGUAAAGAGCGUGUAGGCGGUCCGGUAAGUCGGCUGUGAAAGUCCAGGGCUCAACCCUGGAAGCCGGUGGAAACUGUCGGCUAGAGUCCGGAAGAGGCGAGUGGAAUUCCCGGUGUAGCGGUGAAAUGCGCAGAUAUCGGGAGGAACACCAAUGGCGAAGGCAGCUCGC
rnacentral:rRNA from 1 species